GGUCCCGUAGCCGAGUGGUUAGGCAACGGAUUGCAAAUCCGUUUACCCCGGUUCGAUUCCGGGCGGGACCUCCA
rnacentral:tRNA from 1 species